UACGAAGGGGGCUAGCGUUGUUCGGAAUUACUGGGCGUAAAGCGCACGUAGGCGGGUUGUUAAGUCAGGGGUGAAAUCCUGGAGCUCAACUCCAGAACUGCCUUUGAUACUGGCAACCUAGAGACUGGAAGAGGUUAGUGGAAUUCCCAGUGUAGAGGUGAAAUUCGUAGAUAUUGGGAAGAACACCAGUGGCGAAGGCGGCUAACUGGUCCAGCCACU
rnacentral:rRNA from 1 species